rfam:Egretta garzetta contig83910, whole genome shotgun sequence.
GCUCUGUGGUUUCUCUUCAGAUCCUAUAAAUCUUUUGUCUUUUACAAACGAUUUCCAUGGAGAGAAACUCAUGAGUUUCAUCACUUAUUGGUACGUAACUCCCAGUACAG